CAGCAGCCGCGGUAAUACGUAGGUGGCAAGCGUUGUCCGGAAUUAUUGGGCGUAAAGGGCUCGCAGGCGGUUUCUUAAGUCUGAUGUGAAAGCCCCCGGCUCAACCGGGGAGGGUCAUUGGAAACUGGGAAACUUGAGUGCAGAAGAGGAGAGUGGAAUUCCACGUGUAGCGGUGAAAUGCGUAGAGAUGUGGAGGAGCACCAGUGGCGAAGGCGACUCUCUGGUCUGUAACUGGCGCUGAGGAGCGAAAGCGUGGGGAGCGAACAGGAUUAGAUACCCGCGUAGUCCCUGUCUCUUAUAU
rnacentral:rRNA from 1 species